rnacentral:tRNA from 1 species
UUUCCAUUAGAUGGCUGAAAGCAAGUACU